GCAUCAACAUCCUCGAACGAACGAGGGAGUGUAGAUGCUUAACGGGUGAAGGAGGCAAUAUCUUUGAACAAACAGUUGAUUUUAGAAUUCCAACAACUAAAGGUGUGGAGAACAUACAGUACCUUUAGUCGAUGUACUUCUGCAAUCAAUUGUUCAUUCAAGGAUAUUGUAUCCUUCAACUUUUGAGCGUCAAAACCCUCUCAUUCAGUUCGAGAAUUAUUGUCGC
rnacentral:pre_miRNA from 1 species